CAUGCCGGGGGCACGGUUUCAUAUGCAUACUUUAUGAAAAUGAUAUUUGAAGCAUGAUCAUGAGGCUCAUUUCAGAGCCUGGGUAUAUGAGGCGGGUAUUUCCAAAUCCUGCAGAUGCGUUUUGGGGAGAAACAAAAUCGGUGAGGGGUGAAGGACGCUUGCGUGAAGCCCCGGAACCGGCCAACAUCUGGCAGGGGAGCCCCGUGUUUCCCCCUCAUGUGGGCCCGAUAGUCACGUGCCCUGCGCAGGCGGGCCGUGACAUUUAUGAACGUGUCUGGCCAAAGCAUACAUUGUUUUACAACGGGUUUUUGAAUAUAUCCUUAUGAAAUGUUGUAUUUUGCUAUAACCGCUAUCUCCUUUAAAUUGCAUACAUAAUAUGCCAUGAUGAUGAUCAGAUAAAUAUGCAUGUCAGCUUCUCAAACCCUGUAUAAACAUGGUUACCGUUAUGUUCGAUCUGGUAAGAUUAUGUAUGAUUACUUACUGAGCC
rnacentral:lncRNA from 1 species